CUGAGCCCGUUAGGGGUCCAGCAGACAACAGGCCUUCCAGGGUGGUCGGCGCUAGAAGGCAGUGGGAAUCUGGGCAUGCCUCACCCCUGGAUGUUCAUAGGUCUCCAUCCUGCAGAAAGGCAUUAUCUGUCAUGUCAAAGGGUGAAAUAUCCAAGAGGUGACUCAGAAUUUGUGCCAUUCUGUGAAGCGAGGGCCUUUCUCCAGGAAACCACCCAUUUCCCUGUCAUCAUCGUGAGGCAGGAGGAUUUGGGAAAACCAUGAUAGGUCCUAGGUUUGCUAUCCAGAGCAUGACCCAGAGAUCUCCAGAUGGUGAGAGGGUCUCUGCCGUUAUGGAACUAACAAGUUUCUCUACCCUGCAGUCAUUAUUGCCCGGCGAUGUGAUCUGGGGAGACCCCCUUAGUCUGAAUUGCUGUGUGCUCGGCCUUAAGGUAGGAGUUGCUGCCAUUCGAAUCACAUGACACAGCUGGCUUUGCCAGCAGCUACAGAGUCUCCAACCUCUGCAGAGUUCCAGUAAGGCUCUACCCACUCUGGAGCUGUGACUGUGUGCCUUCUCUAGAUGUCACCUUGACAACAGGUCUUGUUAAUUCUUCCAGACACAUAACUGAAAAAAAAUUUUUUGGUAAUUCUUAGAAAGUACCAGACUUUUUUUCUUCAAAGUUUUUUUCCCCCAGUUUAUCUUCAAAAUAAUGAAAUACCAUCAAGAAGGUCCUGUUAACAUUUCCACAUUGAAGAACAGGGAAAUGAGACACUUAGGGGCUAAAUACUGCUCCAGCUUUGACUGAUGGCCACCAGGAAUGGGUGGGUGAUCACACGUCUCUAUGUUUCACUGUUUACCUUAUCUCAACGGAGGCUUCUCCACUAGUGUCUCUAGAUAAAGCACGGAUCUCAUCCCUCAUCAAACAAGUUUCUUUUUGCAGCCAAUGGAGGCUAUUACAGAGAAACAAAACAGGUCAAGGUGCUGAGGGAAAGCAACAGAAAACAGUCCAGCCUCAAAUGGGAGGACGUGUGUAACACACCCAUACCGUAGGCUCAGGGAAUGCCAUGGAAGAGGAGGACACCUGCAAGAUCUGCUUUGAGACAGCGUCUUCUGGACCUGACAGGAUCUGUUCCAUGAACUCCCAACACAAGACCACAGCAGUCACACGUCAGUGUGAGAUGGGGACAGGUUCACAAGGCGUGAAGAGCUACAGUGGCCAAUAGCUGCUGAGAGCAGAAGAACCAGCUCUCUUCAGGGAUGGGGCCCUGGCAGUUGCCCAUCCAAGCCUAAAUGUAGAACCCUCAGCUCCUCCUACUCCAUGCCUGCUUGGAUGCUGCCAUGCUCCCUGCCUUGAUGAUACUGGACUGAACCUCCGAACCUGUAAGCCAGUCCCAAUUAAAUGUCCUAUGUAACGUU
rnacentral:lncRNA from 1 species